rnacentral:rRNA from 1 species
CACGUAGGGGGCAAGCGUUGUCCGGAAUUAUUGGGCGUAAAGAGCUCGUAGGCGGCUCGGUAAGUCAGGUGUCAAAUCCUCAGGCUCAACCUGGGGCUCCACCUGAUACUGCUGUGGCUAGAGUCCGGUAGGGGAGCGUGGAAUUCCUGGUGUAGCGGUGAAAUGCGCAGAUAUCAGGAGGAACACCUGUGGCGAAGGCGGCUUUCUGGGCCCUACCUGACGCUGGAGACGCGAAAGCGUGGGGAGCGAACCGG